UACGUAGGGUGCGAGCGUUGUCCGGAAUUAUUGGGCGUAAAGAGCUCGUAGGCGGUUUGUCGCGUCUGCCGUGAAAGUCCGGGGCUCAACUCCGGAUCUGCGGUGGGUACGGGCAGACUAGAGUGAUGUAGGGGAGACUGGAAUUCCUGGUGUAGGCGGUGAAAUGCGCAGAUAUCAGGAGGAACACCGAUGGCGAAGGCAGGUCUCUGGGCAUUAACUGACGCUGAGGAGCGAAAGCAUGGGGAGCGAACAGG
rnacentral:rRNA from 1 species